CGGCUAGGGGGUCAUCCCGACUUACCAAACCGAUGCAAACUCCGAUUACCUACAAGUGCCGAGCAUGGGAGACACACGGCGGGUGCUAACGUCCGUCGUGAAAAGGGAAACAACCCAGACCGUCAGCUAAGGUCCCAAAGUUAUGGUUAAGUGGGAAACGAUGUGGGAAGGCUUAGACAGCUAGGAGGUUGGCUUAGAAGCAGCAACCCUUUAAAGAAAGCGUAAUAGCUCACUAGUCGAGUCGGCCUGCUCGGAAGACGUAACGGGGCUCAAACCAUACACCGAAGCUACGGGUAUC
rnacentral:rRNA from 1 species